CUAGGUGUCGGGGGAAUCGACCCCCUCGGUGUCGUAGCCAAACGCGUUAAGUGUUCCGCCUGGGGAGUACGCACGCAAGUGUGAAACUCAAAGGAAUUUGACGGGGGGCCCGCACAAGCGGUGGAGUAUGUGGUUUAAUUCGAUGCAACGCGAAGAACCUUACCAGGGUUUGACAUCCUGCGAACUCCUUGGAAACUUGGAAGUGCCUUCGGGAGCGCAGUGACAGGUGGCGCAUGGCUGUCGUCAGCUCGUGUCGUGAGAUGUUGGGUUAAGUCCCGCAACGAGCGCAACCCACGUCUUUAGUUGCCAGCAUUAAGUUGGGCACUCUAGAGAGACCGCCGGUGAUAAACCGGAGGAAGGUGUGGAUGACGUCAAGUCAUCAUGCCCCUUACAUCCUGGGCUACACACGUACUACAAUGCUACGGACAAAGGGCAGCAAACUCGCGAGAGCUAGCAAAUCCCAUAAACCGUGGCUCAGUUCAGAUCGUAGGCUGCAACUCGCCUACGUGAAGGAGGAAUCGCUAGUAAUCGCAGGUCAGCAUACUGCGGUGAAUACGUUCCCGGGCCUUGUACACACCGCCCGUCACACCAUGG
rnacentral:rRNA from 1 species